AUGUUACACGCUGAACAUUCCCAUCAUUUUGCACUCUACACUGAUUACCAACCUCCAUUUCAAACCUCAGGAUUCCUAGGGAUUGUCAGAAAUGGGAACCAGAGUUGGAAGACCCAAAAGAUCAAUUCCGUGAAUACUUCCUGGUUGCCCUUUAAUUGGAAAUUGGUGCAAGAUGCAUCAGGUGCUACACCUCUUACACUGUCCGCAUUUUGCAUAGGCAUAAAAAAGAGCUGUUUGCCCUGCCAUAAACUCAAACUGAAAACAUAUGCACAGUGUAAAGCUGUUACCAAUUUCCUGGACUCUAUUUGGACAAGUCCCUUGCGAGUUGCGAGCAUGGUUGCCUUGCUCGCUGCUCGUGGGCAUGGGAAAUCAGCCACCCUUGGUCUUGCUAUUGCUAGAGCCAUUGCAGGUGGUAAGCUCAACCAGAUGAGCCUCCCCAUAUGA
rnacentral:rRNA from 1 species